rnacentral:snoRNA from 1 species
UGUGUGUGAUGAAAUGUCUUUACCUGACUUCUCUGAUGGUAAACACUGAUUUAAUGAGCCUGAUGC